AAUCAACGCUGGCGGCGUGCCUAACACAUGCAAGUCGAACGCGAAAGGGGCUUCGGCCCUGAGUAGAGUGGCGUCCGGGUGAGUAACGCGUGGGUAAUCUACCCUCGGGUGGGGAAUAACCAAUCGAAAGAUUGGCUAAUACCGCAUAAUGCAGCGGCUCGACAUCGAGACAGUUGUUAAAGCAGCAAUGCGCCAGAGGAGGAGCCUGCGUCUGAUUAGCUUGUUGGCGGGGUAACGGCCCACCAAGGCUACGAUCAGUAGCUGGUCUGAGAGGACGGCCAGCCACAAUGGCACUGAAACACGGGCCAUACUCCUACGGGAGGCAGCAGUGGGGAAUUGUUCACAAUGGGCGCAAGCCUGAUGACGCAACGCCGCGGUGGGGGAUGAAGGUCUUGGAUUGUAAACCCCUGUCGAAUGGGACGAAUGAAUCGCGCACUAACACUGCGCGGAAA
rnacentral:rRNA from 1 species